UACAAACAGAAACACUUCAACAUGUAAUCCCAUAGAAAUAAUGAGUGGGAUAUGUAUUUUUUCACACUAAGUCCUUGACUUCUCUUCUACACUCAUGACACAUCUCAAUUCAGACGAGCCGUAUUUUUAGUACGAUUGAUAGCUACACAUGGCUAGCGCUACCGUAUUGAUAGUGCAGCUCUGUACUAUUCAUAGCUUCUCACAUAUUCUAAUUUUUCCGAACAGUCACAUAUAUUUUGCAUGCAUUUUGAACCAGUGUAUUCAAACUCUCUUGCGUUCUUUCCCCCCGAUGUACUCUAUCUAUAAAUAAAUGUCACAUGUAUUUAGAUGUUGCAUGCAUUAUGUAUACUUAAAUAGAUAAUAUAGAUUUAUCUCUAUGGUGGCUAUGGUCUAUAUAAAUGACCAAUCAUUCCUAAAGUCAAUCUAAUGAUCUUCUGUUGUGUCUCCUGAUGACACGUUCGCCUCCUGGGCAUCUGGGCAAUUUAUCACUCUGUUCUGAGUAUUACUGCCACGAAUGCCUUUUUUGAGAGUGGAAUUCAUUUUUUCCUCUUUGUCUCUCUCUCCCUUCCUUCCCUCUUAGUCUCUUGUCCCUUUCGGGAUUAUAGGAGUGAGGUUGAGCAACCUCCCUUCUCAGCUGACCCAGGACCGACCAACUUUCCACCAUACGGUGCCGCGCGAGGGCAUCUGCGUCUGCUGUGAUAGAGGUUUUGCAGGAGAAAAGAAGAGCCCUUCAUUUUGAAGUGUAAUGAGAAGAUGGAAUAACAAAAUAGAAAACACAGGCAUGAAUAUGGAUACAGCGCUCCACAUGGCCCUGCUGACUAGAAAAUGACAAGGGAAAGACUAUCAUGGCUUCUAUUACAAAGUUAUGCCAACUAGAGCCAGACCUGUGAAAACUUGUGAAGAAAAAUCCAGACAGCCACCUUCUCACUGUGUCCUCCAUGGUCUCUCCUGUGUGAUGUGCACUCCUGUGUCUCUUCCUCCUCUUCCAAGGACACCAGUCUUAGUGGAUCAGGACCCCAUCCUCAUGACCUCAUCUAACCUUAAUCACCUCCUUAAAGGUUCUGUGUCGGAAUACAGUCACAUUAGGGUGGUUUCCUCCUUCAUCUGCAAAUAUAGGCACGCCUCAGAGACAUCGCGGGUUUGUUUCCAGACCACCCCAAUACAGCGAAUGUCACAAUAAAGCAAGUCAAAUGGAUAUUUUGGUUUCCCAGUACAUGUAAAAGUUAUGUCUACACUAUAUUGAAGAGCAUUUUUUUUAAAGAUUUUAUUUAUUUAUUUAACAGAGACCACGAAAGAGGAAACACAAGCAGGGGCAGAUGGAGA
rnacentral:lncRNA from 1 species